UAAAAGAGCAAUCAGUUGAUUGUAUUCUUCGGUAGUGAAAGUGGGGCUGUCAUUGGGUUUGACGUGGGGCCCUGGGGUUGGAUCCUUUUCAGCAGUGUAGGCAGCCCGUCUGUUUUUGGGCUUGACAUUCUUCCCAUGGAGUUUGUGGCCCACAGGAAAUCCAUUAAGGAAAAAGCAGUUGUCAAUUGUGUGGGUGUCUCCAUCACAAUAAGAACAUUUCAGAGACUUCCUGAAGUUGGAGCUGUGUUUUCCAUCCCCAGCACCAGAGGAUUUCGCCGCUGCUGCUGAGUUGCCUGGGUUGGUGCCGCCCUUGGUGUUCGCAGAACGUAUGAUUUGCAUGGCAUGGGAUCCGAUCUUUCGAUUUGCCACGUCCAACUGCCUUUCGUGUUGGAGGAUCAAGCCAUGGACACGACGUGUGUCUGGGAUCGGCGACAUCAUCAGAAUUGACCCACGCACAGUUGAAUAAGGUGCUAUUUGUAGGUGCUGUUUUGAAUUUGAUGAAAAGAGAAGAGGAAAUUGAAAAGCAUACAAGGGAGAUUACUCCACCGAAGUUGAAGGAGAUGACCUCUCACGCCACCAGUACCCUAUUUCAGUGAGUAGCUAUUGAGCUUUGGACGGAUGGUCGCUACUUUCUGCAGGAGACACAUCAACUUAACAACCAGCGGCGGCUUAUGCGAAUGGAGGAAGACCCUGCUGUAGAUAUCUGGAUGGCAUAUGCGAGUCACUGGUUCUUCGAGGAACCCUUGUAAUUAUUUUCAAUGUUGUAGAUUCACUAAUCAUUUAUAAUUUCUCAUAUAUAGCUUUCAACCCUUUUUGAUUUGCACAACAGUGCUUUGUUUCCUUUAAUCACUCCAUCAUGUAUCUGUUCUAGUGCUAAUUUAUGAGUUGCUUGUAAAUGAUGAUUCUCGUUAAA